AAUGAACGCUGGCGGCAGGCCUAAAACAUGCAAGUCGAACGCCCUAGCAAUAGGGAGUGGCGCACGGGUGAGUAACACGUGGGAAUAUGCCUUUUGGUACGGAACAACGUCUGGAAACGGACGCUAAUGCCGUAUGGUCCCUUCGGGGUAAAGAUUUAUCGCCAAAAGAUUAGCCCGCGUCUGAUUAGCUAGUUGGUGAGGUAAUGGCUCACCAAGGCGACGAUCAGUAGCUGGUCUGAGAGGACGAUCAGCCACACUGGGACUGAGACACGGCCCAGACUCCUACGGGAGGCAGCAGUUAGGAAUAUUGGACAAUGGACGCAAGUCUGAUCCAGCCAUGCCGCGUGAGUGAUGAAGGCCUUCGGGUUGUAAAGCUCUUUAGUCCACGAUUAUAAUGACUGUAGUCGGAGAAUAAGCCCCGGCUAACUUCGUGCCAGCCGCCGCCGUAAAAC
rnacentral:rRNA from 1 species